rnacentral:rRNA from 1 species
UACGUAGGGUGCGAGCGUUAAUCGGAAUUACUGGGCGUAAAGCGUGCGCAGGCGGUUCGUUAAGUCAGAUGUGAAAGCCCCGGGCUCAACCUGGGAACUGCAUUUGAAACUGGCGGGCUUGAGUAUGGCAGAGGGGGGUGGAAUUCCGCGUGUAGCAGUGAAAUGCGUAGAGAUGCGGAGGAACACCGAUGGCGAAGGCAGCCCCCUGGGCUAAUACUGACGCUCAGGCACGAAAGCGUGGGGAGCAAACAGG